AUUGAACGCUGGCGGCAGGCCUAACACAUGCAAGUCGAGCGGAUGAAGGGAGCUUGCUCCUGGAUUCAGCGGCGGACGGGUGAGUAAUGCCUAGGAAUCUGCCUGGUAGUGGGGGAUAACGUCCGGAAACGGGCGCUAAUACCGCAUACGUCCUGAGGGAGAAAGUGGGGGAUCUUCGGACCUCACGCUAUCAGAUGAGCCUAGGUCGGAUUAGCUAGUUGGUGGGGUAAAGGCCUACCAAGGCGACGAUCCGUAACUGGCCUGAGAGGAUGAUCAGUCACACUGGAACUGAGACACGGUCCAGACUCCUACGGGAGGCAGCAGUGGGGAAUAUUGGACAAUGGGCGAAAGCCUGAUCCAGCCAUGCCGCGUGUGUGAAGAAGGUCUUCGGAUUGUAAAGCACUUUAAGUUGGGAGGAAGGGCAGUAAGUUAAUACCUUGCUGUUUUGACGUUACCAACAGAAUAAGCACCGGCUAACUUCGCG
rnacentral:rRNA from 1 species